rnacentral:sRNA from 1 species
UGCAAAUUUGGGCCCAAGGUCGUUGG